rnacentral:rRNA from 1 species
CCCCCAGACUCCUACGGGAGGCAGCAGUGAGGAAUAUUGGUCAAUGGGCGGAAGCCUGAACCAGCCAAGUCGCGUGAGGGAAGAAGGCCCUGCGGGUCGCAGACCUCUUUGGACGGGGAGCAAGGCCGCCGACGUGUCGGCGGAAGGAGAGUACCCGUAGAACAAGCAUCGGCUAACUCCGUGCCAGCAGCCGCGGUAAUACGGGGGGUGCAAGCGUUGUCCGGAAUCAUUGGGCGUAAAGCGUUCGUAGGCGGUGUGUCAAGUCUGAUGUUAAAGCCCGGGGCUCAACUCCGGUUCGGCAUUGGAUACUGGCAAACUAGAAUGUGGUAGAGGUAAAGGGAAUUCCUGGUGUAGCGGUGAAAUGCGUAGAUAUCAGGAGGAACAUCGGUGGCGAAAGCGCUUUACUGGACCAUUAUUGACGCUGAGGAACGAAAGCCAGGGGAGCAAAUGGGAUUAGAUACCCCGGUACC